rnacentral:rRNA from 1 species
UGAGCAAUCUGCCCUUCUCAUCGGAAUAAGCGUUGGAAACGACGUCUAAUGCCGAAUACGACCUCCUUUCGCAUGAUCGGAGGUGGAAAGCUCCGGCGGAGAAGGAUGAGCUCGCGGCCUAUCAGCUAGUUGGUGAGGUAACGCUCACCAAGGCGACGACGGGUAGCUGGUCUGAGAGGAUGGCCAGCCACAUUGGGACUGAGACACGGCCCAGAUCCCGUAACGGGG